rnacentral:rRNA from 1 species
GUUUUGAACGGGUUGUAGCUGGCCUCAUACUGUGGCAUGUGCACGCCUGUCUUCAUCCACUCUUCAACCUCUGUGCACUUAUUGUAGGCUGGUGAAGGGUCGCAUAGUAAUGUGCGGCUUGAAGCCUGGUCUACGUUUUACUACAAACGCUUCAGUUAUAGAAUGUCUAUCUGCGUAUAACGCAUUUAAUAUACAACUUUCAGCAACGGAUCUCUUGGCUCUCGCAUCGAUGAAGAACGAGCGAAAUGCGAUAAGUAAUGUGAAUUGCAGAAUUCAGUGAAUCAUCGAAUCUUUGAACGCACCUUGCGCUCCCUGGUAUUCCGGGGAGCAUGCCUGUUUGAGUGUCAUGGAAUUCUCAACUUCUAAUACUUUUUUGUAUCAGAAGCUUGGAUUUGGAGGCUCGUGCUGGCUCUCUCGUUAGAGUCGGCUCCUCUUAAAUGAAUUAGCGUGAAUCACUAUGGAUCGCUUCGGUGUGAUAAUUAUCUGCGCCGUAGUCGUGAAGUAUUAAUAAAAGUUCUCGCUUCUAAUCGUCCUUCACGGGACAAUUAACCCUGACUUUUUGACCUCAAAUCAGGUAGGACUACCCGCUGAACUUAAGCAUAUCAAUAGCGGAGGA